rnacentral:rRNA from 1 species
GGCCAGACUCCUACGGGAGGCAGCAGUGGGGGAUAUUGCACAAUGGGGGGAACCCUGAUGCAGCGACGCCGCGUGAGCGAUGAAGUAUUUCGGUAUGUAAAGCUCUCUCAGCAGGGAAGAAAAUGACGGUACCUGACUAAGAAGCCCCGGCUAACUACGUGCCAGCAGCCGCGGUAAUACGUAGGGGGCAAGCGUUAUCCGGAUUUACUGGGUGUAAAGGGAGCGUAGACGGCAGUGCAAGUCUGGAGUGAAAGGCGGGGGCUCAACCCCCGGACUGCUCUGGAAACUGUACGGCUGGAGUGCAGGAGAGGUAAGUGGAAUUCCUAGUGUAGCGGUGGAAUGCGUAGAUAUUAGGAGGAACACCAGUGGCGAAGGCGGCUUACUGGACUGUAACUGACGUUGAGGCUCGAAAGCGUGGGGAGCAAACAGGAUUAGAUACCCCAGUAAC